GUGAGGAAUAUUGCGCAAUGGAGGCAACUCUGACGCAGCCAUGCCGCGUGCAGGAAGAAGGCGCUACGCGUUGUAAACUGCUUUUAACCGGGAAGAAACCCCAGGACGUGUCCUGGGUUGACGGUACCGGAGGAAUAAGCACCGGCUAACUUCGUGCCAGCAGCCGCGGUAAUACGAAGGGUGCAAGCGUUAUCCGGAUUCAUUGGGUUUAAAGGGUGCGUAGGCGGAGCGUUAAGUCAGUGGUGAAAUCCUGCAGCUUAACUGUAGACUUGCCAUUGAUACUGGUGCUCUUGAGUGCGCUUGAAGUGGGCGGAAUGUGCCGUGUAGCGGUGAAAUGCUUAGAUAUGGCACAGAACACCAAUUGCGAAGGCAGCUCACUAAGGCGAUACUGACGCUGAGGCACGAAAGCGUGGGGAUCGAACAGGAUUAGAAACCCUGGUAGUCC
rnacentral:rRNA from 1 species